rnacentral:rRNA from 1 species
GCAGAACGCGAAGAACCUUACCAAGGCUUGACAUACACGAGAACACCCUGGAAACAGGGGACUCUUUGGACACUCGUGAACAGGUGGUGCAUGGUUGUCGUCAGCUCGUGUCGUGAGAUGUUGGGUUAAGUCCCGCAACGAGCGCAACCCUCGUUCUAUGUUGCCAGCACGUAAUGGUGGGAACUCAUGGGAUACUGCCGGGGUCAACUCGGAGGAAGGUGGGGAUGACGUCAAAUCAUCAUGCCCCUUAUGUCUUGGGCUUCACGCAUGCUACAAUGGCCGGUACAAAGGGCUGCAAUACCGUGAGGUGGAGCGAAUCCCAAAAAGCCGGUCCAGUUCGGAUUGAGGUCUGCAACUCGACCUCAUGAAGUCGGAGUCGCUAGUAAUCGCAGAUCAGCAACGCUGCGGUGAAUACGUU